UAAGGACAUGUGGAGCGCUUAGAAGUGAGAAUGCCGGUGUGAGUAGCGAAAGACGGGUGAGAAUCCCGUCCACCGAUUGACUAAGGUUUCCAGAGGAAGGCUCGUCCGCUCUGGGUUAGUCGGGUCCUAAGCUGAGGCCGACAGGCGUAGGCGAUGGAUAACAGGUUGAUAUUCCUGUACCACCUAUAAUCGUUUUAAUCGAUGGGGGGACGCAGUAGGAUAGGCGAAGCGUGCGAUUGGAUUGCACGUCUAAGCAGUAAGGCUGAGUAUUAGGCAAAUCCGGUACUCGUUAAGGCUGAGCUGUGAUGGGGAGAAGACAUUGUGUCUUCGAGUCGUUGAUUUCACACUGCCGAGAAAAGCCUCUAGAUAGAAAAUAGGUGCCCGUACCGCAAACCGACACAGGUAGUCAAGAUGAGAAUUCUAAGGUGAGCGAGCGAACUCUCGUUAAGGAACUCGGCAAAAUGACCCCGUAACUUCGGGAGAAGGGGUGCUCUUUAGGGUUAACGCCCAGAAGAGCCGCAGUGAAUAGGCCCAAGCGACUGUUUAUCAAAAACACAGGUCUCUGCUAAACCGUAAGGUGAUGUAUAGGGGCUGACGCCUGCCCGGUGCUGGAAGGUUAAGAGGAGUGGUUAGCUUCUGCGAAGCUACGAAUCGAAGCCCCAGUAAACGGCGGCCGUAACUAUAACGGUCCUAAGGUAGCGAAAUUCCUUGUCGGGUAAGUUCCGACCCGCACGAAAGGCGUAACGAUUUGGGCACUGUCUCAACGAGAGACUCGGUGAAAUCAUAGUACCUGUGAAGAUGCAGGUUACCCGCGACAGGACGGAAAGACCCCGUGGAGCUUUACUGUAGCCUGAUAUUGAAAUUCGGCACAGCUUGUACAGGAUAGGUAGGAGCCUUUGAAACGUGAGCGCUAGCUUACGUGGAGGCGCUGGUGGGAUACUACCCUAGCUGUGUUGGCUUUCUAACCCGCACCACUUAUCGUGGUGGGAGACAGUGUCAGGCGGGCAGUUUGACUGGGGCGGUCGCCUCCUAAAAGGUAACGGAGGCGCUCAAAGGUUCCCUCAGAAUGGUUGGAAAUCAUUCAUAGAGUGUAAAGGCAUAAGGGAGCUUGACUGCGAGACCUACAAGUCGAGCAGGGUCGAAAGACGGACUUAGUGAUCCGGUGGUUCCGCAUGGAAGGGCCAUCGCUCAACGGAUAAAAGCUACCCCGGGGAUAACAGGCUUAUCUCCCCCAAGAGUUCACAUCGACGGGGAGGUUUGGCACCUCGAUGUCGGCUCAUCGCAUCCUGGGGCUGUAGUCGGUCCCAAGGGUUGGGCUGUUCGCCCAUUAAAGCGGUACGCGAGCUGGGUUCAGAACGUCGUGAGACAGUUCGGUCCCUAUCCGUCGUGGGCGUAGGAAAUUUGAGAGGAGCUGUCCUUAGUACGAGAGGACCGGGAUGGACAUACCUCUGGUGUACCAGUUGUCGUGCCAACGGCAUAGCUGGGUAGCUAUGUGUGGACGGGAUAAGUGCUGAAAGCAUCUAAGCAUGAAGCCCCCCUCAAGAUGAGAUUUCCCAACUUCGGUUAUAAGAUCCCUCAAAGAUGAUGAGGUUAAUAGGUUCGAGGUGGAAGCAUGGUGACAUGUGGAGCUGACGAAUACUAAUCGAUCGAAGACUUAAUCAA
rnacentral:rRNA from 1 species